rnacentral:rRNA from 1 species
AUGGGCCUGAGCCCCUCGAAGCGCGUGGACGCGGCGCUCCGGCGGGCGCCGGCGUUCGCCGCCGCCUGCGAGGCCGCCUUCGACCGCUGCCUCGCCGAUGCCCAGCACGCCUUCUCCGGCGUCCGCCCCUACCAGCUCGCGGACGCGUCCGCGCACCUCCACUCGGCCCUCCGGGGCUCCCUCCCUAUCGUCCGCCGCUGGGUGCCCUCGCCGCCGGCGCGCGUGCGCGUAGACUCUGCGCUGCGCGCCUCUGGCUUGGAAGGCGCCGGCGAGCUCUCGCGGGAUCAGUUCGGGGAGUUCGCGGCCGAGCUGUUCAGGGAGGCCGUGCUCGCCGGCGCGGCCGAGGCGGCGCUCGUCCGUGCCCCGGCCGGCGCGGCCGGGAUCCUCGGGGUGGCCAUCGUGUCCCGCGCAGGCGCCGGGGCAGCUGGGAAGUUGGUCGCUCUUUACACCGCCGGCGUCGCCGCCGCUGUUUACCUCAGCUUGGGCUAG